AUGGCUUCCAUCAACUUCAACCCGUUCGAAGGCUGGUUCCGAAAACCCCCAAACCCACUCCCACCCAUCAACCUCCUCUCCCUCGCCGACUCCUUCUCCCCCAAAACCCCCACCCCCUUCGCCGCCCUCAGCCUCUCCAACCCCUUCAAACCCCCAAAACACCCGACCCGAAACCCGAACCCGACCCGGAGAAGCCCGGGCACUACACCCAGAUGCUGGAGCAGUUCUUCUGGGAAUGCGAGAACCUCCCCGACUACCGCCACACCCCUGAAGUCGACAGAAUCCUGGAAUCCGACCCGAUUCUGGAGAAGAAGGAGAACCCGACGGAGGAGGAGAUUAGAGAGAACGAGAAGUUCUGGGAGGAGUUCCGGGCCAGCCCGGUGACCCGGUUCUUGACCCGGGCGGAGCAGAUUGCGGAUAAGAUUAAUGAGAUGGAGCUGAAGGAAAACGACAGGCCGUACAGGAGGGAGGACAGGAAGCUGUGGCAGGCGGUGCCGCAUGUGAUUGGGCCCGACGGGAGGCCAAUGCCGAGGAAGGCGAUUAAGACUAAGAAGGAGAGUGAUGACAAGUUUUGGGAUUUCGCGAGGCAGUUCUUUUUCGGGCUUUGGGGGUUCCAGCAGCGGCCGUAUCCGCCGGGCCGGCCCAUUGAUGUGUCUCAGGCUAUUGGGUAUAAGCGGCUGGAGAAGAGAUACUAUGAUUUUGCUAUGAGGAGUGGAGGGUGGUUCUAUAAGGACCGGUUGGGUAGAACGAGAGGUCCAUUGGAGCUUAUUACACUCAAAACGGCUUGGGGUGCUGGGAUUAUUGAUAAACACACAUUCAUUUGGGGUGAGGAUAUGGAUGAAUUUGCUCCCAUUCACAUGGUUUAUGGAAUGGAACGCGCUAUUGCCACCUGGGAAGUUAGACUUGGUGCUGCUGCAACUGCUUUUAUUCACAAACUACAAAAAGGAAUCCCUCCUUGGGUUCCACUAAAGGGCUUUGAGGAUAAAACCUAUAAGCAAUUACAAGAAGAGGCUAUAGAAAGCAAGAGACGUGACUUAGCAGUACUUGAAGCUAAUGAUGGUGUUUGGCCGGGUGUUAGAACUCCUAGUCAUGCGUUAUUUCUUUGGGCUAGUGGCUCUGAGCUAACAUCAAUUUUGGAACAGGAUCACAUGCCAAACAAAUACAUUCCGAAAGAUCUUAGACUCGAACUGUCUAGAAUUAUACCUGGUUUGAGGCCAUGGGAGGUUUUGAGCGUGGAACAAGCAAUGGAUCAGAUAACCUAUGAGGGAGAGUGGUAUCGUGAACCUCUUGGUACAUACACGACAGGCCCUCCAUACAUUCAAGCUUGGAAUAUGGAUGUCAAGAGACUGUAUAGGAUCUAUUCCAAUCUAUGCACCCGAGUCUACCAGAAAAUGGAGAGAUCAAUUCCCGGUUUCGAUAAAGUAAUGGAGAAGGUCGAAGCAGAUGCUAUUGCAAGAGAUCAGAGACGGAAGGCUAAAAGAGCAGCAGAGAAGGAAGCCGAACUGGAAAAGGCCCUUGGUGGACCUCGAUUUGGUCCUGAAAAUGACUCUUGAUCAUAAUUCCAUGUACUGAAUGGUAACAUCCCAAUCCCUAUUUGAGAUUAUGAAGUAGCUUUUGAAUGCAGUGAAAAACGGUUAGGCUAGAUAUGAUUGGAGAAUUUUCCCCUUUCACUAGGAGCAAUUGUAACUGUAAGUCCUGUAUCUCUUCAAGUCUCAGUUUUUGUAAUAAACCAUCAAUACCAUCGCAAAUAGUUGAUCUUUUUGUUAACCUGGUAUUCACAAUAGUAAUCCA